rnacentral:rRNA from 1 species
UGUGGUGACCAUACCACCCUGAACGCGCCCGAUCUCGUCUGAUCUCGGAAGCUAAGCAGGGUCGGGCCUGGUUAGUACUUGGAUGGGAGAAUUAUGUACUUUACAAGGA